GUGGAGCAACCAGGAGGGAGCUGGUGCAGCCAUUGCGAUAUGCAUAGGGACUUGAAGAGUGGCUCUCCAGCCACCUCCUCAUGGCACUAAUGCUGUGUCACCUUUGCUUUGCCUGAGUGUGGCCACAGUGCACGUGUUGCAUGUGAGGCCCAAAGGGGAGCAGGAAAGAGACAGUGCCCUCCUGCUGCUCUUAGUUUGCAAUGUGUCUAUCCCCAGCACGGACAGAACUUGGCCUAAGCAGCCUGCCUCAUUUAUAAGCCUUGGAAACGGGAUCCUUUAAGGAGCAGUACAGGACAAAUUGCUAAGUACUGGUUUCAUUGACUACAUGGAUUUGCAACCAGCAGUUCAGCAGCUGCUUCAUGAGCCAUCCUUCCAGGAGGGGAACCUCAGAGAAAUGGGGACUACACGUGCUUAAAGAGCUUGGUCCGGUUCACUACAGCCAGAUGUGAAAAUGCUGCCUCCAGCUAACUCCAGCCCCUGCAAACUGCCUUCUGUGAGCACCUUUCCUACCUGCUGCCCAUCUCCUGCCAGACCCCUGAUCUCCGCCUGGCUGGUUUGAUUCUCCUCUUGAUGAGACCCCUGCACCCUCACCUACCUUCCUGAAUGGAUCUGACCACCGAGGGAAUCUGGACCACCGCAUUCCUUUUCUUUCUGGGCAGUGAAUGAAAACCGUGUGUCUUUUGAAGAACAGUGUCUGAAAGAAAUAUUGAUGUCUGCCAGGGCAUCUACAGAAAAAGGAUAAGAAAAUUACUGCAACAGGGAAGACAAAGGGGCUUUGUUAACUCUUUCUUGUAGGUUGUAUAUAUUAAUAGUAACAACU
rnacentral:lncRNA from 1 species